AGUUCAAGCUAAUAGACAGACGACAUAAUGAUUUCGCCUUUUGCUAUAUAAUAGAGCUAUUUUAGUUUUAUGAAGAGACAACUUCCUCUUAUUUCUCUCUAUCUUAUUAACCUGAGUGUUGUUCUACAUGAGGCAAAGCACAAAUACAUUUCCUGUUUCUUAGAGUUCCCAUACAUCACAUUUCCACAAUACUUUCUCUUUUAAUUGAUUUUUCAGGUGA